rnacentral:rRNA from 1 species
GACGAACUCUGGCGGCGGGCUUAACACAUGCAAGUCGAACGGAAAGGCCCUGCUUUUGUGGGGUGCUCGAGUGGCGAACGGGUGAGUAACACGUGAGUAACCUGCCCUGGACUUUGGGAUAACUUCAGGAAACUGGGGCUAAUACCGGAUAGGGGCUCCUGCUGCAUGGUGGGGGUUGGAAAGUUUCGGCGGUUGGGGAUGGACUCGCGGCUUAUCAGCUUGUUGGUGGGGUAGUGGCUUACCAAGGCUUUGACGGGUAGCCGGCCUGAGAGGGUGACCGGCCACAUUGGGACUGAGAUACGGCCCAGACUCCUACGGGAGGCAGCAGUGGGGAAUAUUGCACACUGGGCGGAAGCCUGAUGCAGCAACGCCGCGUGCGGGAUGACGGCCUUCGGGUUGUAAACCGCUUUCGCCUGUGACGAAGCGUGAGUGACGGUAAUGGGUAAAGAAGCACCGGCUAACUACGUG